rnacentral:rRNA from 1 species
UACGUAGGGUGCGAGCGUUGUCCGGAUUUAUUGGGCGUAAAGAGCUCGUAGGCGGUCUGUCGCGUCUGCUGUGAAAACUCAGGGCUUAACCCUGAGCUUGCAGUGGGUACGGGCAGACUAGAGUGGCGGUAGGGAGACUGGAAUUCCUGGUGAUAGCGGUGAAAUGCGCAGAACGUAUCAGGAGGAACACCGGUGGCGAAGGCGGGUCUCUGGGCCGUAAGCUGAACGCUGGGAGGAAG